rnacentral:rRNA from 1 species
UACAGAGGUCUCAAGCGUUGUUCGGAUUCAUUGGGCGUAAAGGGUGCGUAGGAGGGCAGGUAAGUCAGUGGUGAAAUCCCCGAGCUUAACUUGGGAACUGCCGUUGAUACUAUCUGUCUUGAAUAUUGUGGAGGUGAGCGGAAUAUGUCAUGUAGCGGUGAAAUGCUUAGAUAUGACAUAGAACACCAAUUGCGAAGGCAGCUCGCUACACAUAUAUUGACUCUGAGGCACGAAAGCGUGGGGAUCAAACAGG